rnacentral:rRNA from 1 species
GAUGAACGCUGGCGGCGUGCUUAACACAUGCAAGUCGAACGGAAAGGCCCAAGCUUGCUUGGGUACUCGAGUGGCGAACGGGUGAGUAACACGUGGGUGAUCUGCCCUGCACUUCGGGAUAAGCCUGGGAAACUGGGUCUAAUACCGGAUAGGACGAUGGUUUGGAUGCCAUUGUGGAAAGUUUUUUCGGUGUGGGAUGAGCUCGCGGCCUAUCAGCUUGUUGGUGGGGUAAUGGCCUACCAAGGCGUCGACGGGUAGCCGGCCUGAGAGGGUGUACGGCCACAUUGGGACUGAGAUACGGCCCAGACUCCUACGGGAGGCAGCAGUGGGGAAUAUUGCACAAUGGGCGCAAGCCUGAUGCAGCGACGCCGCGUGGGGGAUGACGGCCUUCGGGUUGUAAACUCCUUUCGCUAGGGACUAAGCGUUUUUGUGACGGUACCUGGAGAAGAAGCACCGGCUAACUACGUG